AUUGAACGCUGGCGGCAGGCUUAACACAUGCAAGUCGAGCGGAGCGAGGGUGCUUGCACCUUAGCUUAGCGGCGGACGGGUGAGUAAUGCUUAGGAAUCUGCCUAUUAGUGGGGGACAACAUUCCGAAAGGAAUGCUAAUACCGCAUACGCCCUACGGGGGAAAGCAGGGGAUCUUCGGACCUCGCGCUAAUAGAUGAGCCUAAGUCGGAUUAGCUAGUUGGUGGGGUAAAGGCCUACCAAGGCGACGAUCUGUAGCGGGUCUGAGAGGAUGGUCCGCCACACUGGGACUGAGACACGGCCCAGACUCCUACGGGAGGCAGCAGUGGGGAAUAUUGGACAAUGGGGGGAACCCUGAUCCAGCCAGCCGCGUGUGUGAAGAAGGCCUUAUGGUUGUAAAGCACUUUAAGCGAGGAGGAGGCUACUUUAGUUAAUACCUAGAGAUAGUGGACGUUACUCGCAGAAUAAGCACCGGCUAACUCUGUGCCAGCCGCCGCAGUAA
rnacentral:rRNA from 1 species